rnacentral:rRNA from 1 species
GACGAAGGGGGCAAGCGUUGUUCGGAAUUACUGGGCGUAAAGGGCGCGUAGGCGGUUCUUUAAGUCAGGCGUGAAAGCCCUGGGCUCAACCUGGGAGUGGCGCUUGAUACUGGAGGACUAGAGAGUGGGAGAGGUUGGUGGAAUUCCCAGUGUAGAGGUGAAAUUCGUAGAGAUCGGGAGGAACAUCAGUGGCGAAGGCGGCCAUCUGGGACAACACUGACGCUGAAGCACGAAAGCGUGGGGAGCAAACAGG